UACCUGGCAUGUCCCUUUGUACCACGCCUUCAUUUCCAGCCAGGAAGCCAGCAAAUUGUCCUAGUAGUGCAGUUUGAUUGUUGUCACACUGAUUUAGUGGUCCUUCACUAUCUCCAAGACCUUGUUUCUUGUGAAGAAACAUAGCAAACUCGUUGAUCAGUGCAGUUGGAUUAGUGGUGAACUUCAGUGCUCUCUCAGAAGAAGUUGUGGCAACAUGAUUUGCCUUGUAAGAAGGGUUGUACGAGCCUUUCGAGACACCUUUGUUAUUCCUAGGAAACUUUGGUUUUAACUCUGGAUG
rnacentral:lncRNA from 1 species